UCCUGUUUUUCCAUUUUAAAAAAAGUCGAAAAAUAACUUCCAAAAAUAAAAAAUGUCACAAGUUUGUUUGGAUACAUAAUUUUUGAUUUCUAGAGGCGAAAAAAUCCAUUUUUUGUGAACCAUUGUACUGGACCGGACCUCGAUAGCUCCAUUAUAUAGCCAGUGAACUUUAAAGUAAAGAAAACCAUUUUCUCUGCUUGAAUUCAUCGAACUGAUUGUCUCUCUCGAGUGAAAGAAAGGGCAGAAGUCAUUUCCAGCAUUCUGUAAUAAUAAUGGGUGGAGGUGGUGCUCAUCACGGAGAAGCUGCUAGCCAUGUUGAUUUUAGAACAAAAGUAUGGUCUAUGCCUGGAGGUCCAUAUUGUAGACCAGUACAUUGGAAACGAAACACUGCUGUUGCCAUGUUUGGUAUCUUCCUUGUUUGUAUCCCAAUCGCUAUGAAGUCUGCUGAACUCGAGCAACGGCCUCAUAUGCCUGUUAGGCCAAUUCCUUCACAAAUGUGGUGCAAGAAUUUCGGAGAGAACUCAAAGAAGGACUACUGAUAUAAUGUUGUGUUGAUAGUAAGUCUGAAAUUGUUGGAACUCAUGUCCCUUUUUGUUUGCCAUAUCAACCUGUGUGUUUUGUAUUGGUUACUAGAAAAAAGUAUCUUUCCAUGGAUAUGCUGAAUAAUAGCUGUGCAAAGCUGAAUCAGUUUACUUGUCUCAAUCGAUUGUAUGAAACAUUUACGACUUCUUUAAUUUUGAAUUAUCAAAUCUUCGUAAGUUAACUCUUAUACCAA